rnacentral:lncRNA from 1 species
CUAAGUCGGUUCAAUAUAUGCAAUGAAGAUGAAUACUAGCAAGAAAUAAAAUUGAUGUUACCCAAGUUCCUCACAGUCAGAAGAUACGUCCAUUUGACAGAAGCCCUAGCUCUGAAGAAGAUUAAAAUCACGGAAACUCUCGAACCAGUAUAUGAUGAAAAAUCCCAAAAAUAAGCGUUCCUUUCUGGAAUACUAAGAGGAUUCGUGAACAAUCCAAAAAAAAAAACAAGCUUCACCGGCAAAAAGAAACUUAGACGAUGGCAAUACCAUGAAAUCGAUGCACAUGAAAAACUCCACCAAAGCAGCUUGAGGGUAAUAUCGAUCGAUAUAGAAUGACGAAAUUCAUCAGGAUCGACCGCUCUAAUACCAUGUAAAUAUCUGUAGAUCGAAAAAUUUGAAGAAAAAUAGUUAGGUUUAAGAGAAAGUGAGAGAAGAAUCGAGAAGCCUCUGUUAGUUCUACUUCAGAAAAUAUCCAUUCUCCUUACAUCUGUAUGCUAAAAAGCUAUAUAUAUACAAGGGUAUAAUUGGCGGUCCACUCAAGUAACUACCCGACCAACUAAUUAGAAAAUCAACAAUUGGUCUUAGCCCAGCACAAUAAAUACA